UACGUAGGGUGCAAGCGUUGUCCGGAAUUAUUGGGGCGUAAAGAGCUCGUAGGCGGUUUGUCGCGUCUGCUGUGAAAACUCGGGGCUUAACCCCGGGCCUGCAGUGGGUACGGGCAGACUAGAGUGCGGUAGGGGAGACUGGAAUUCCUGGUGUAGCGGUGAAAUGCGCAGAUAUCAGGAGGAACACCGGUGGCGAAGGCGGGUCUCUGGACAGUUCCUGACGCUGAGGCACGAAGGCCAGGGGAGCAAACGGG
rnacentral:rRNA from 1 species